CGUACUGUGCUCGCAAUAUCCACAAUCUGACUCAGAUACACGAUGUCUGUCCAAAACGGUGACAGGUACUGGAGCAGUGGCGCAGCCGCCGACGCGAACGAGAAGGUCCUCGGCACGUGUGGCCGUUUUCCGGAAGCCCUAUUAUACCACGUGGAGAGAAUAUGAAGUCGUUUCCCACCCAAGUUGUACAAAUUGCCUUCGAUCCUGGAGAAAGCACUGAUUCUGCACCUCCAUGCAACAGCAAGUCAAAUCAAGCCACACCCAGGUUUGCAAAGAGCUUCGUGGUCAACACUAUAACAACCUGCCUACUGGGGAGAACUCACCAAGUAUAUGAUACCAUCAAAGUUUAUCACUCCAUCAAACAUCUUCUCAGAUGCUUCUUACACAAAGUUGGCAACAUGAAUAGCCACCUUCUGGUGUUAAGUCAGGGUUGCAGUUGUAGAUUGGUUUCCCAAUAACCCAAUGAAGUAAUAGGGCGAGUGAAUGCCCCCCCUGCACCUCGUUUGCACCUACCCAAGACUUCUAUUUUUACACCAGCUUGAAGAGAAGAUAUUCUCCCCGAAAUUCUUGAA